rnacentral:rRNA from 1 species
UACAGAGGUCCCAAGCGUUGUUCGGAUUCACUGGGCGUAAAGGGUGCGUAGGCGGUCGGGUAAGUCUGACGUGAAAUCUCCAAGCUCAACUUGGAAAUGGCGUCGGAUACUAUUCGGCUUGAGGAGUGGAGGGGAGACUGGAAUUCUCGGUGUAGCAGUGAAAUGCGUAGAUAUCGAGUGGAACACCAGUGGCGAAGGCGAGUCUCUGGACACUUCCUGACGCUGAGGCACGAAA